AAGAGCGCGGCUACCUGCAGUCGAAGGUAGCACAGAGAGCUUGCUCUCGGGUGACGAGUGGCGGACGGGUGAGUAAUGUCUGGGAAACUGCCUGAUGGAGGGGGAUAACUACUGGAAACGGUAGCUAAUACCGCAUAAUGUCGCAAGACCAAAGAGGGGGACCUUCGGGCCUCUUGCCAUCAGAUGUGCCCAGAUGGGAUUAGCUAGUAGGUGGGGUAACGGCUCACCUAGGCGACGAUCCCUAGCUGGUCUGAGAGGAUGACCAGCCACACUGGAACUGAGACACGGUCCAGACUCCUACGGGAGGCAGCAGUGGGGAAUAUUGCACAAUGGGCGCAAGCCUGAUGCAGCCAUGCCGCGUGUAUGAAGAAGGCCUUCGGGUUGUAAAGUACUUUCAGCGGGGAGGAAGGUGUUGUGGUUAAUAACCACAGCAAUUGACGUUACCCGCAGAAGAAGCACCGGCUAACUCCGUGCCAGCAGCCGCGGUAAUACGGAGGGUGCAAGCGUUAAUCGGAAUUACUGGGCGUAAAGCGCACGCAGGCGGUCUGUCAAGUCGGAUGUGAAAUCCCCGGGCUCAACCUGGGAACUGCAUUCCAAACUGGCAGGCUGGAGUCUUGUUAAGGGGGGUAGAAAUUCCAGGUGUAGCGGUGAAAUGCGUAGAGAUCUGGAGGAAAUACCGUGGGGAAGGCGGCCCCCUGGACAAAAACUGACCCUCAAGUGCGAAAGCUUGGGGAGCAAACAAGAUUAAAUACCCGGGUAGUCCCCCCCGUAAACGAUGUCCAUUUUGGAGUUGGGCCCCUUAAGGGUGGCUUCCGGAGCUAACCCCUUAAACAACCCCCUCGGGGAAGACGGCCCCAGGGUAAACCUCAAUAAAAUUACGGGGGCCCCCCCAACCGGG
rnacentral:rRNA from 1 species